CUGCUGAUACCAAUUUUGCAAGACUGGGUGCAUGUGUGCAGACAACCAGAUUUCAUCUCUACUGCUUCCUGGCUGACAGCAACCCUGCUGAUCCCAGGAGUACUCCUCAACAAAUCUGCAACAUGGUAAUCUCCAACUCCGUAUCUGCUUCCAGAGAACCCAAUCUGUAGCAGUUGAUGGAAGGAAUGGCCCAAGAAAUUAGCCAUAGGGAUGGAAUUUUGGAGCUGCAUCAUUUGCCACCCAACUAACUGUGAGGACUGCCAUCCUUGGUGUCGGAGGUGCAGCAUGAAGCAGUUGGGCUCUGACAAAGAGCCUUUUGGAAGCAAAGAUAAAUAGACAAUGGACAAUGAAUACCUUC